GGUGAACGCUGGCGGCGUGCCUAAUACAUGCAAGUCGAGCGGACAGACGAGGAGCUUGCUCCUCUGACGUUAGCGGCGGACGGGUGAGUAACACGUGGAUAACCUACAUAUAAGACUGGGAUAACUUCGGGAAACCGGAGCUAAUACCGGAUAAUAUAUUGAACCGCAUGGUUCAAUAGUGAAAGACGGUUUUGCUGUCAAUUAUAGAUGGAUCCGCGCCGCAUUAGCUAGUUGGUAAGGUAACGGCUUACCAAGGCAACGAUGCGUAGCCGACCUGAGAGGGUGAUAGGCCACACUGGAACUGAGACACGGUCCAGACUCCUACGGGAGGCAGCAGUAGGGAAUCUUGCGCAAUGGGCGAAAGCCUGACGGAGCAACGCCGCGUGAGUGAUGAAGGUCUUCGGAUCGUAAAACUCUGUUAUUAGGGAAGAACAAAUGUGUAAGUAACUAUGCACGUCUUGACGGUACCUAAUCAGAAAGCAACGGCUAACUACGUG
rnacentral:rRNA from 1 species